GGCUUGAUGGCGCAGAGGUAGUGUGCUCCAUAUUGUUUGCCCCAGUGUUUGACCAUUCCAGAGAGACCUGGAGUUCGAUCCUCCGUCAAGCCA